rnacentral:RNase_P_RNA from 1 species
CGAGUUCGCCAGAUCGUCGCGGCUGGCGCGGGAAACCGCGCUGGCGGAGGAAAGUCCGGACUCCACAGGGCAGGGUGCUGGUUAACGGCCAGGCGCAGUGAUGCGACGGAAAGCGCAACAGAAAACAAACCGCCGGGGCGCAAGCUCCGGCAAGGGUGAAAAGGCGAGGUAAGGGCUCACCAGCGCGGCAGUGAUGUCGCGGCUUGGCAAGCCCCACCCGGAGCAACGCCAAAACGCGCAGAUGAGGCGGCCCGCUGAUGCGCAGGUAGGCGGCUUGAGGCCCGCAGCAAUGCGUGGUCCAGAGAGAUGACGGUCCCGUCGUUCCCGCAAGGGGGCGAUAUGACAGAAUCCGGCUUAUCGGCGGACUCGGACA